CGACUCUUUCCGUGAAAGAAGUGUUGAAAAUGACUUAUUGUGGCCGCGACUGGCUCCGAGGGGCAAGAACAGCUCCAGAUCUGAAGCAUCUGUUUAACAGUGAACUUCUGGAUGAGUUUGACUCUAUCCGCCUUUGGCUCCAUCUGAUCCGGACUGCCAUCCUCCGCGAAAAUGAGGUGACUGAGAACAAGAGAGGCAAG